GGACUACAGGGGUUUCUAAUCCUUUUUGCUCCCCAUACUUUCGAGCCUGAGCGUCGGAUCUCGUCCAGCUAGCUGCCUUCGCCGUUGGUGUUCCUCCUGAUAUCUACGCAUUUCACUGCUCCACCAGGAAUUCCACUAGCCCCUCCGAGUCCCUAGACCGGCAGUUUCAGACGCAGUCCCGGAGUUGAGCUCCGGGGUUUCACAUCUGACACACCGAUCCGCCUGCGCUCCCUUUACGCCCAGUGAAUCCGAGUAACGCUUGCAGUCUCUGUAUUACCGCGGCUGCUGGCAC
rnacentral:rRNA from 1 species